rnacentral:rRNA from 1 species
UAGAGGAGUGCUCGAAAGAGAGCCGUAACACGAGGUGCUGCAUGGCUGUCGUCAGCUCGUGUCGUGAGAUGUUGGGUUAAGUCCCGCAACGAGCGCAACCCUUAUCAUUAGUUGCUACGCAAGGGCACGUCUAAUGAGACUGCCGGUGACAAACCGGAGGAAGGUGGGGAUGACGUCAAGUCCUCAUGGCCCUUAUGGUAGGGCUGCACACGUGCUACAAUGGCCGGUACAAUGGGCUGCGAUGCCGCGAGGCGGAGCGAAUCCCAUAAAACCGGCCCCAGUUCGGAUCGGAGGCUGCAACUCGCCUCCGUGAAGUCGGAGUUGCUAGUAAUCGCGGAUCAGCAUGCCCGCGGUGAAUACGUUCCCGGGCCUU